rnacentral:rRNA from 1 species
CCUACGGGUGACAGCAGUGGGGGAUAUUGCACAAUGGGGGAAACCCUGAUGCAGCGACGCCGCGUGGGUGAAGAAGUAUUUCGGUAUGUAAAGCCCUAUCAGCAGGGAAGAAAGAAGACGGUACCUGACUAAGAAGCCCCGGCUAACUACGUGCCAGCAGCCGCGGUAAUACGUAGGGGGCGAGCGUUAUCCGGAUUCACUGGGUGUAAAGGGAGCGUAGACGGCCGUGCAAGCCAGGAGUGAAAGCCCGGGGCCCAACCCCGGGACUGCUCUUGGAACUGUGCGGCUGGAGUGCGGGAGGGGCAGGCGGAAUUCCUGGUGUAGCGGUGAAAUGCGUAGAUAUCAGGAGGAACACCGGCGGCGAAGGCGGCCUGCUGGACCGCGACUGACGUUGAGGCUCGAAAGCGUGGGGAGCGAACAGGAUUAGAUACCCUGGUAGUC